CCAACGCCCAGAAACAAAGAACAACAUGUCCACGCUGACAAACAUGUCAACACCCUGAAACACAUAGAGACGUAGUUAAACACAAGCGUAUAAACACUGGUAAAGGUCACAAUCUGCUGCCUUCUCUCCUCUCCUGCCCUCUGCCCUCUCCCCAGUCAGCUCAUGGUUGGUUAUGUACUGUGCUGUGCAUCGUCAUCUCACACUCAUCCUCAUCUCAGCUGGGCAGCAGUUGAGCUAUGUGAAGUUAACAUCAAGGCUUCAGCACUGUUUGCUAGGAAUUUUCAUGUAAUGAGGAUGUGUAAAGCUGAGGGGCUUCACUUCAAAAAGCCGGACUGUGAUCAUGGAGCACGUUGUAGACUGUUAAUAACCUAACUAGUUGGUGAAUGAUGUCACUGAGGAAGACGGAGCUAUGGUUUUGAAAUGAAACCCUCCAGCUGCAGGCAUGUGUUUGACACCAGAACAUGCUCUUAGUCAUGAUACACUGUACCACCAGGAGGAAGAGAUCUCCAUUUUCUAACAAGAUCCUGGGUGAGGGUUUGGAAGUUUGCACUUUGUGAACUUGAGCUCUUAGUGCACAUUUAACCACCUCUGCAUUUCCAGCCAGACAGCUGUGUUUGCAUUACAGCAUCAAAGUCCACCAUUACACCCAUCAUGUCGGUCCUGAGACCGACUGUAAUUCAGUCGACGUUAGCAGAGCCCAGAGCUGAGCCAGAUGAAUGAGACUGGGCCGUACAGCACGCAGGAUGCCACAGAAAUACACAGACAACCACUAAUAUACUGGUCCCUCAGCAGAACCUGUAGUCGAGUGUUGAAUGUUCCCCAGAAUCUCAGGAUUUUUGGAAUGGAGAUCUUUUCCUCUGGUGUCUCAUCUCUUGAUCUACCACUUAAAGGUAUCCAUGCAUACUGUAACCUACUGUGUUUGACUGCCUUAGUCUCCCAUGGAGAGAGGGGCAUCAUGGGAGUCUGUGGACACUACACUGUGAUUGGCUAUCCUUCCUUAUGUGUGUUGCCAGGACUUUGAUGGGCACAGGGAUCACCACACCGUGAGCCUGGGCUUGUCAUCCCAACCCAGGAGGAGCCAUUUCUCGGUUGUAGCAUCUCUUUUUAUUUGGUUUAAACCACCCCCCCACCCCACCCCACCCCCCUCCCCUGCAAAAAAUAGGAUUUUUUUUUUCAUGUACUUCAUUUUUGUUUUUGAGAUGAAUUUUAUUUUCUCCUAAGAAUUUUACCUUAUUGAUUUUAUUUUUAAGAGCAUUGUUAUCUUGGACAUUGGUUGGAAGAGGUUUUCAAAAAAAUAAUGCAAAAAAAGCAAAAGAAAGAAAACAGAAUGGGCACAAUAUCAGUCAUUUCAAAAUAAAAAUUGAUGUUUUUUCCAAA